AAAUUUCCUUUCUCACAGUUCUAGAGGCUGGAAGUCCAAGAUCAAGGUGCUAUCAGGGUUGGUUUCGGCUGUGGCCUCUCUUCCUGGCUUGUAGACAGCUGUCUUCUUGCAGUGUCCUCACAUGGCCUCUU
rnacentral:miRNA from 1 species